rnacentral:rRNA from 1 species
UACACACCGCCCGUCACACCAUGGGAGUUGGCUGCACCAGAAGCCGGUAGUCUAACCGCAAGGGGGACGCCGUCCGCGGUGUGGUCAAUGACUGGGGUG